AUCUACGGCCAUGCUACCCUGAACAAGUCCAAUGUCUGAUCUCAGAAGCUAAGCAGGAUUUGGUCUGGUUAGUACUUGGAUAGGAGACCACCUAGGAAGACCAGGUUUUGUAGGCA
rnacentral:rRNA from 1 species